rfam:Schistosoma mansoni strain Puerto Rico chromosome 1, complete genome
ACACUACUGAGGAGUCCCACAAUAGGAUGAAACGACCGUCCAGUGC